UACGUAGGGCGCAAGCGUUGUCCGGAAUUAUUGGGCGUAAAGGGCUCGUAGGCGGCCAACUAAGUCAGACGUGAAAUCCCUCGGCUUAACCGGGGAACUGCGUCUGAUACUGGAUGGCUUGAGUUUGGGAGAGGGAUGCGGAAUUCCAGGUGUAGCGGUGAAAUGCGCAGAUAUCAGGAAGAACACCUAUGGCGAAGGCAGCUCUCUGGGACGGUACUGACGCUGAGACGCGAAAGCGUGGGGAGCGAACAGG
rnacentral:rRNA from 1 species